AGAAUUGAUCUGGUCAGGACGAACGCUGGCGGCGUGCCUAACACAUGCAAGGUCGAGCGGGGACUGCGCGACGGACCUGAAGAUUCGGUGGAUGGGAAGAUGCACAGUUCUAGCGGCGGACGGGUGAGUAACGCGUGAGCAACCUGUCCCUUACAGGGGGAUAACACAGCGAAAGUUGUACUAAUACCGCAUAAGACCACGGCAUCACAUGGUGGCGGGGUCAAAGGAGCAAUCCGGUAAGGGGUGGGCUCGCGUCCGAUUAGAUAGUUGGUGAGGUAACGGCCCACCAAGUCGACGAUCGGUAGCCGACCUGAGAGGGUGAUCGGCCACAUUGGGACUGAGACACGGCCCAAACUCCUACGGGAGGCAGCAGUGGGGAAUAUUGGGCAAUGGGCGCAAGCCUGACCCAGCAACGCCGCGUGAAGGAAGAAGGCUUUCGGGUUGUAAACUUCUUUUAUGAGGGACGAAGAACGUGACGGUACCUCAUGAAUAAGCCACGGCUAACUACGUGCCAGCAGCCGC
rnacentral:rRNA from 1 species